UUGACCUCGAUCAGGUAGAUACCCGCUAAUUAA
rnacentral:rRNA from 1 species